CCCAACAACACUUCCAUUACUCUCUUCAUUUUUAUACUAACCGGCCAAUAGCCUAACUCAAAACACUCCUACUUUGUCUCUUUUCAUUUCUCAAUUUCAAAUUCAUUUUUCUAUACAAACGGUAUUGAAAAAUGGGAGUUCGAGUGCAGGAGUAGCUAUUCUUAAUUAUUUAAACUCAUCUGUUUUUGUUAUUCGACAAUAUUACAAGUCAUAAUAUAAUCAGAUUCGGUCACAUGUCUUCUUUUAACUACAUUGCAACGCAUCAAUAUGAUAAUGUGAGUGUGGUUUUGUUCUAAAUGUAAGGAACUUUCUUUUUGGGAUAUGAAUAUAAAAAGGGAAGACCCAAAUUGAAUGUAAUAUAAUAUUGAGGGCUCACACAUAAUAUAAAAGGGUUAUAGAGGAAGGGGUCGUGUCAAGUUAUUAAGCAACUAGACCCCCCCACCACCUCGUUCUGAUCACUUAUUGGCAAUCCUAAUUGAGCACCCAUUCUCGUAAAUCCAACACGUGGUCUCUUGGUACAUGUUUGAGGUGGGCCUCCCUGCCUCCUUCUCCUCCCUAUAUAUACACUCCAUCUCUCUCACCUGUUUCUUCAAAUCUCACACUCUCUCAUUCCAUCUCAGUGUCUGCCUCAGCCACCCUCUCUCUCUCUCUCUCUCUACAAACCCAAACCAAAAGCAGACCAUAAAAACACACACAAUCUCUCUCUCUCUCUCAACCCAACAAGCACAAAAUACACAAGUUUACUUGCCCUUCACGGCCAAUCAAGAGCCACCAUUCUCUACUCUUUACUAGCGCUGGCUUUUUUAUUUCCUUUGUUUAAUUUACUAAAAUAGAGAAACCAUGCCUUCCACUGCUGCAGCAAUAACAGGCACAUGGGUUAAGCCUGUUACUACUAGAAGACACCACCUUUCUUCUACAUACUCUUCAAAUUUAGCUACAAACCAAUUGGGUUUUCCCCCCUCUUCCUCCUCCAGCUCAAUUUUCUUCAGCAGAAAACCCAUUCACAGAAAAUCAACCCCAGACACACUCACUUGCUCUCUCCAAGCCCCCUCUCUUCUCCAAAUCCCCAACCACACCCCUUCCUAUCAGCCGCCUUCCUCAUCUUCAUCAACCACCCUUUUCACUCCCUCCACAACCUCAAACCCAAAAGAAAACAAGACCCAACCUUCUUCUAAAUCCUCAAAGCCAGUACCCCAGCAAUGGAACUUCCUACAGAGAGCAGCAGCCAUGGCCUUGGACGCAAUGGAGAGCGCUCUGCUAUCAAAAGAGCAGCAACACCCACUUCCCAAAACAGCUGACCCAAAAGUCCAAAUCGCCGGAAACUUUGCUCCAGUACCGGAGCACCCGGUUGAACACUCUCUGCCAGUCACCGGAAAAAUCCCGGCCUCAAUCCAAGGCGUCUACGUCCGCAACGGUGCCAACCCACUUCACGAGCCGGUCGCCGGCCACCACUUCUUCGACGGCGACGGCAUGGUCCACGCCCUGCAAUUCAAAGAAGGGGCCGCCAGCUACGCCUGCAGGUUCACCGAAACGCACCGUUUUAGGCAGGAGCGCGACCUCGGGCGUCCCCUGUUCCCAAAAGCCAUUGGCGAGCUCCACGGCCAUUCCGGUAUCGCCCGCCUCCUCCUCUUCUACGCGCGCGGCAUGUUCAGCCUCGUGGAUCCCACCCACGGCAUCGGCGUCGCCAACGCCGGCCUCGUCUACUUCAACGGUCGCCUGCUCGCCAUGUCGGAAGACGACUUGCCGUAUCACAUUAAAAUCACCGAAACAGGGGACCUCAAAACGGUCGGUCGUUACGACUUCGAUAAACAGCUCAAGUCCACAAUGAUAGCCCACCCGAAAGUGGACCCCACCACUGGCGAGCUCUUCGCGCUCAGCUACGACGUCGUUCAGAGGCCUUACUUGAAGUACUUCAAGUUCUCGCCGGACGGCGAGAAAUCCCCCGACGUCGAAAUCAAUCUUGACCAGCCCACCAUGAUGCACGACUUCGCUAUCACA
rnacentral:lncRNA from 1 species